GGCGAACGCUGGCGGCAGGCCUAACACAUGCAAGUCGAGCGCCCCGCAAGGGGAGCGGCAGACGGGAGAGUAACACGUGGGAACAUGCCCUUCAGUACGGAACAACCAAGGGAAACUUUGGCUAAUACCGUAUACGCCCGUAAGGGGAAAGAUUUAUCGCUGAAGGAUUGGCCCGCGUCUGAUUAGCUAGUUGGUGGGGUAAUGGCUCACCAAGGCGACGAUCAGUAGCUGGUCUGAGAGGAUGAUCAGCCUCACUGGGACUGAGACACGGCCCAGACUCCUACGGGAGGCAGCAGUGGGGAAUAUUGGAAAAUGGGCGCAAGCCUGAUCCAGCCAUGCCGCGUGAGUGAUGAAGGCCUUAGGGUUGUAAAGCUCUUUCGUCAGGGAAGAUAAUGACGGUACCUGAAGAAGAAGCCCCGGCUAACUUCGUGCCAGCCGCCGCAGUAAAAC
rnacentral:rRNA from 1 species